rnacentral:rRNA from 1 species
GGGUUAAGUCCGCUAACGAGCCGCAACCCUCGCUGUAUGUUACAUGUGUCAUACAGGACCGCCGGUAUCAAGCCGGAGGAAGGUGGGGAUGACGUCAAGUCCGCAUGGCCUUUAUGUCCGGGGCUACACACACGCUACAAUGGUCGGUACAAUGGGUUGCUAAGCCGCGAGGUGGAGCCAAUCCCCAAAGCCGGCCUCAAGUUCAGAUUGCAGGCUGCAACUCGCCUGCAUGAAGCUGGAGUUGCUAGUAAACGCGCGUCAGCUAUAGUGCGUUGAAUACGUUCUCGGGCCUU